UUGUGGAAUAGAUAGGUUUUUACUUUAUGAAUCUGGAACGAACGGAUUGCUACCGGCGGCAUUCCUGAACGCAAUUGGGUCCAACACGGAAGCUAAACUAGUUCAUAUGCAUCCGGACAACGUUGCCCAGAAGCAGGCACAACAAGCAAUGAAUUUCGAUACGGAACAACUAAGCAGAUGCAUAUCAGUGAAAGUUUAUUCCGUUCUGAGACAUUUCUACCAACGAAGUAAGGACACGAACGGUAUUGAAUUGAAUGAUGCUAAGCCAGAUCAACAGUGUGGGGAGAUUGACGGUGUAGAUUCGCCACAGGUGGAAAUUAAUCACAAACGCAAGAUGUGACAUUAUCAGAUUCUCCCAAAGUGGUUUCUUACCAGCUAUGAAUACACCCGUUCGGAUGAUGUGGCUUUUUUGCUUCCAUCAACUGCAGUCAACAGCAUCGGCUUUCCCGUAGCAGUAUCCUCCAAGCCAUGGUGGCUGUUCCAGGAGACAACAUCAACAGCAGCAGCAUCUGGACCUGAUCAUCGAUAGUGUUUCGAGCAACUUUCCAUAUCGGAGAUCUCGUGCUUCGCGCACAUUGAAGAAGCCUCCUCAGCCACAUAUGUGUGUCAAGGAGAAAAAGGAGCUGGAUUCGAAUCGUCAAUCCAGACAACCCGAAUGCACCGAUUGCAUUAUAUAUCUUGUUUAUAUUUUAUAUGCAUUUUGUGUUUUUUUGAAUAAAAUGAUUAAAAUCGAUCAAUGUUUUUCCUUUUCAUGUUUCAUAACAAACCAAUACAAACAAGAGACGAUCAGUGUUGGAAGCAGCGUUACA